GAUGAACGUUGGCGGCGUGCCUAAUACAUGCAAGUCGAGCGAACGGACGAGAAGCUUGCUUCUCUGAUGUUAGCGGCGGACGGGUGAGUAACACGUGGAUAACCUACCUAUAAUACUGGGAUAAUUUCGGGAAACCGGAUCUAAUACCGGAUAAUAUUUUGAACCGCAUGGUUCAAAAGUGAAAGACGGCCUUGCUGUCACUUAUAGAUGGAUCCGCGCUGCAUUAGCUAGUUGGUAAGGUAACGGCUUACCAAGGCAACGAUGCAUAGCCGACCUGAGAGGGUGAUCGGCCACACUGGAACUGAGACACGGUCCAGACUCCUACGGGAGGCAGCAGUAGGGAAUCUUGCGCAAUGGGCGAAAGCCUGACGCAGCAACGCCGCGUGAGUGAUGAAGGUCUUCGGAUCGUAAAACUCUGUUAUUAGGGAAGAACAUAUGUGUAAGUAAAUGUGCCCAUCUUGACGGUACCUAAUCAGAAAGCAACGGCUAACUACGUG
rnacentral:rRNA from 1 species